CCUACGGGAGGCAGCAGUAGGGAAUAUUGCUCAAUGGGGGAAACCCUGAAGCAGCAACGCCGCGUGGAGGAUGAAGGUUUUCGGAUUGUAAACUCCUUUUGUUAGAGAAGAUAAUGACGGUAUCUAACGAAUAAGCACCGGCUAACUCCGUGCCAGCAGCCGCGGUAAUACGGAGGGUGCAAGCGUUACUCGGAAUCACUGGGCGUAAAGAGCGCGUAGGCGGGAUAGCAAGUCAGAUGUGAAAUCCUAUGGCUUAACCAUAGAACUGCAUUUGAAACUGUUAUUCUAGAGUAUGGGAGAGGUAGGUGGAAUUCUUGGUGUAGGGGUAAAAUGCGUAGAGAUCAAGAGGAAUACUGAUUGCGAAGGCGACCUGCUAGAACAUAACUGACGCUGAUGCGCGAAAGCGUGGGGAGCAAACAGGAUUAGAUACCCCAGUAGUC
rnacentral:rRNA from 1 species